CUAAGAAUGCCAUCCUUGUGCCUGUAUGGAGCCUUAUCCUGUCUUCCUCUGUAGGUUUUUUGGCCUUCCACUCACAAGGCAGGCAAGAUACAAUCCCCUUUUUCAUCUGCACCCCGACUCCCUGCAGCAAUGAACAAAUACUGUUGCGCCUAAGGUCAGACCUGGCCUCUCUUUCCACUUUGGAUCUAUCUAUAGCUGCUUUUUUACAAACCUAACAAGAUUGGAGAACCAGUUGUCUUUCUAGUGAUUAGAAGUGGUGACUGUGGUGUGUUACAUUGCAUGCACUGGCUUAUCGGACUGGAUACGUGAAUCUUCACAAUUCCAAGUGGGACAGAAAAGUCUGCUUCUCCUGCUGGAGACAAUGCUAAGGCUAAUCACCUUUAUGCCUGGGAAAGCCCGCACUCAUUGAUUUAUGAAGGACAGCUUUGCUUUGCUCAGAAUGGCAUUCUUAGUUGGCUGUGUGUUUAAAAUCUGAGCUUCGAAUGCGUCAUUUCACAACAUCCUGACUCACCAGCUUUCUGCCGAGAAGUCUGCUAAGCAUCUGCCCACAUUCUCAGAGAUAUGCCAUUCACAGUAUGCUGAACCUUUCUGCUCAAUCAUUAAUCAAGAUAAUGUCCUGCAAACAUAGCCACAGGCCAAUCAGAGCAAAAUACGAGUCCUCCCAAAGAAAGGAGUCAGAUUGUCUCCGUGACAUGAGCACAGAGGUGGAGUGUGUCCAGGGUUUGUUUAGUUUGGAAUUUUAAAGCUCCAUCAAGAAUGCAGGAGGCCUUUUUCUUCUCACUUAUGUUGACAGACUGUUGAUGGCCUUUCACACUAACUUGGUUGGAAGAAGAAGAAGAUGAAGAAAAAAGAAACUUCAGAUGAUCCUAUUUGUGUAAGAAAAAAAAAAAAAAAGUCUUCCAAACAACUCCCUUGUCGCCAGCAUCAACAGCAGCUGAACACGGGCUGAGUUGUUGCACAGUGAGAAUUAUUCCUUUCAUUUCAAAGGCAUCAGAUGUUUGGGGCAAGCAAAAGUCCUGGCUGGUUAAACACGAUCAAAAAUAAACUAGUAUCACAUUUGCUUACGGAACGCGCUGAUUAAAUCUCCCGCUGCAGUCUGAGUACACUGUUUGUUCCUCCAGAAAGGUUUUAAAAGGAGGGAGGUCAGCUCAAAAAUCUAAGCUGAUUUGGAGAGCCUAAGAAGCGUCUGAAGAUCUUCUCUUUCCAGAAUUCCUUUCUUAUGAUGAAACACUGCUGCCAGUGCGCCUGAGCUGUUGAUGACUUAUAAACAGAAGUCAAAGGGAAUUGGAGCUUCUGUCAAGACCCAUUCCAAAUAUAAUAAAAAGAGAGAUGAUUGGAUGUCUCUUCAGGGCUCUGGAUGAGCGCUUUUGUGCUUUGACUGUUCUUUGAACUGGGAUGCAAAGUGCAGUUUCAGGCUCUCAUUUGUUACCUGUCUCAACAGAAAUGUCAGCAGUUUAUGUUUCCAGUAGCUCUUGUCUCAAACCAUAGCUUCCUUCCUGCCUUUCUUUCUUCCUUCCUUCUUUCCUUUCUUUUUUCUUUCUUUCUUUCUUUCUUUCUUUGUUUCUUCCUUUCUUUCCUUCCUUCUUUCUUUCUUCUUUCAAUUCUUUUCUUUCCUUCAAUUCUUUUUCCUUCUUUCUUUCCUUCCUUCCUUCUCUUCUUUUCUUUCAUGCAUUUCUUUCUUUCACCUUUGAAAAAAAGUAGCCCAUAAGAGUACAUCAUCCAGUGUUCUGGGACACAGUAUAGGUUUUAUACUUUGCUAUAUGCAAUUAAGCAUCUUCUCCCUGACAUGUCUGUCCCUGUGCUGUGACCUGUGGGUCUUAACUUUGUCAUUUGUAGAUGGGAACUGAACAGAGUUUACAGUGCCAAAUUACUGUCCCAAGGUUCCUGUGGCACUUGGUUCUUAAGACUUAUUAGCCCUUUCUUUUCUCUUUCUUUUUUUGUUUUGUUUUGUUUUUCAAGACAGGGUUUUUUUUUUUUGUGGCUUUGGAGACUAUCCUGGAACUAGCUCUUGUAGACCAGGCUGGUCUCGAACUCAUAGAGAUGCACCUGCCUCUGCCUCCCGCGUGCUAGGAUUAAAGGUGUGCAUCACCCUCACCUGGUUAUUAGCAGGCCGUCUUAUCCUGUACCUUACAAGACAUUCAGCACCAUCCUUUGCUUCUACCCCCUAGACAGCAAUUGUAUGAUAUUCCUUCCCACACCACUCAGAUGACAAUGGAAACUGUCUCCAUUGUCA
ensembl:lncRNA